GACGAACGCUGGCGGCGUGCUUAACACAUGCAAGUCGAACGGAAAGGCCCUGCUUUUGUGGGGUUCUCGAGUGGCGAACGGGUGAGUAACACGUGAGUAACCUGCCCUUGACUUUGGGAUAACUUCAGGAAACUGGGGCUAAUACCGGAUAGGAGCUCCUGCUGCAUGGUGGGGGUUGGAAAGUUUCGGCGGUUGGGGAUGGACUCGCGGCUUAUCAGCUUGUUGGUGGGGUAGUGGCUUACCAAGGCUUUGACGGGUAGCCGGCCUGAGAGGGUGACCGGCCACAUUGGGACUGAGAUACGGCCCAGACUCCUACGGGAGGCAGGGGUGGGGAAUAUUGCACAAUGGGCGGAAGCCUGAUGCAGCAAAGCCGCGUGCGGGAUGACGGCCUUCGGGUUGUAAACCGCUUUCGCCUGUGACGAGGCGUGAGUGACGGUAAUGGGUGAAGAAGCACCGGCUAACUACGUG
rnacentral:rRNA from 1 species